GCCCUCUUGGCGUAACUGGCAGCGCGCACGGUUGAAGCCCGUGGGGACCCUGUUCGAGUCAGGGGGAGGGCG
rnacentral:tRNA from 1 species